rnacentral:lncRNA from 1 species
CUUUACUAUGUAAUUUUUUUAUUUUUUUGGUUGACCCUGUACAGGGCCUUCUGCAUGCUGGCCAAGGGCUGUACCACUGAGCAACACCUCCACAUUAUAUAAUAAUGUUUUAAAUUAAGCAAAAGUUUGCAAAAGUGAAAAUCAAAAAUCUGAAUGUGCAAAUUGGUCAACUUGUUAACAUAUGGAUUUGGACUUAGCAGGCUGUGGGGACUUGGAUUCUGCAGUUUUAACAGAGCAGCUGGCCAGGGAGCUGGGAGGUAUCCAUCAGCUCUGCCCGGCAGCAGUGGUUUAUGAGGCAAAACCUGUGCCCAGAUGUUCAUGAAUGGCUCGACACCCAGACUACUCUCACAACAGAAAACUAGAUAGCAAGCUAACCUGAAAAAGCAAGGCUUACUUCACCAACAAGGAUGAACUGACAGACUUUUUUUUUCUUGAUACUAGGGAUCGAACACAGGGGCACUAAACCAAUGAACCAUAUCCACAGCCUUUUUUAUAUUUUAUUUUGAGACAGGCUCUCACAAGUUGCUCAGGGCCUCUCUAAAUGGCUGAGGUUGGCCUUGAACUUACCAUCCUCCUGCCUCAGCCUCCUGAGUUGCUGAGACUACAAGUGUGUGCCACCAUGCUCAGUUGGAAUAAAUGUCAAAGCACACAAAAUAAACCUACCUGCUACAGGUGGAGAUUUCUAUAUGCAAUUAAACUAUAAAGACAUCCACAAGCCUGAGCAGUACCUGCCUCUGGAAAGGGAAGUGAGGGCAG